GGCGAUGUCGUCGAGGGAGCGUCCGCUGGCCUGGAUCGCCUGGAUGGCGCCGAUAGCCAUUUCAUCGUUCUGGGCGAUGACGCCGUCG
rnacentral:tRNA from 1 species